GGCGGCCAGAUAGGGACUCAGGGAAAAGUGUGCGGAGGCGGUCGCCGCGCAAGGCGGGGUCUGUCCCCGGCCGCGCUGCGUGCCGCGGCGGGGCGGGAAAUGUCAGGCCGUCCCCGCCUGGUGCGGGGUCGUGGGGCCCCGGAGGGCGCGGAGCGCGGGAGGCGAUGGCGUCGGCGGCGUCGAAGCUGCGGGCGGAGGCCGGGCUCGGGGCGCUCCCGCAGCGGGCGCUCGCCCAGUACCUGCGCCUUCUGCGGCUCUACCCUGUGCUCACCAAGGCGGCCACCAGUGGCAUUUUGUCAGCACUUGGGAACUUCCUGGCCCAGAUGAUGGCGAAGCAGCGGAAAAAAGAAAGCUCCCAAAAGCUAGAUGCCAGUGGGCCUCUCAGAUACGCCAUUUAUGGGUUCUUCUUCACAGGGCCACUGAGUCACUUCUUCUACCUCUUCAUGGAGCACUGGAUCCCUUCUGAGGUCCCCUGGGCUGGGGUCAAGAGGCUCCUCCUGGACCGCCUCCUCUUUGCACCGGCCUUCCUGUUGUUGUUUCUCCUCGUCAUGAACUUCCUGGAGGGGAGAGACGCAGCUGCUCUCUCUGUCCAGAUAAGGAGAAGCUUCUGGCCGGCGCUGCGCAUGAACUGGCGAGUCUGGACCCCAGUGCAGUUCAUCAACAUCAACUACGUCCCUCUGCAGGUGAGGGCCAGCUGACACCAUGCGGAGCCCGAGGGGGCCUCAUCCUCCACCAGCCUUGUUCCUUCUUGGAACCAUUGGUGGUUUUCUCUCCGCGCAGAAUCAUUAGCAGCUUUGGAUGUGGACGGGCGAAGCGUGUGCCCACACCUCAUCCCUUGGUCCCAGAAACAUUUCUGAAAAGCCUCCAGUCCAGGACAGCUCGAGUUUUCCAGGGGCGCAGCGUUGCCAGUGCCUGGCCCCGUGGGUCACAGCUGGGCUUGCGUGCGGGAGCCGAGCGGUGGCCGUGCCCAGCAGGGUGAGGGGCAGAGGCGAGUCCGGCCUUACCUGCCCUGACAUCAGCGUGCGCCUGAGCCCUGAGCGGCAAGCGGCAGGCAGGACCCUGGGGGCAGGGAUGCUGUCGGGGCGCCGCGCACCAGGUUCAGCCCUUCUGGGCACCGGGGGUCGCGGCCCGAGGCAGGCUGCCGAAACUGGGCCUCCACUCAGCACGGUGGGAGCCUGGAGGGGCUCUGAGCUGCAGGAAGACCUCACCAGGGCAAGGCUGAGGGGCCCGCGGUCCUGCGCCGUCUUUACACACCGAGGACAGCCCACCUGUGUCCCGCCCCAAGACCACGCCCAGGGCUAGAGAUCUGGAGGCGGGGCUUGGCACAGCGUCUGCUGACGGCCGUGGGUGUAUUACAGCCUCAGAGCAAGGAUUUGCAACUGCAUCUUAGGAAUCCACUGCAGCCUUCCUACGCUCCCUCCCUCCCGUGAGGCUCACGCAGGGCAAGCUCUCACCCACCAACAAAACGCAGCAACACUCAGGCCACGUUUCUGUCCAGGGAAGCCCUGUAAAGACCCAGUGCCUGGGGUUUGGGGGAGAGCUAGUCACAUAGGCACCCUCUGCCUGGUGCUUACCAGAAUUCCAGACUCCCAGAAGGAAGAGUCAGUGCUCAGCAGAACUGCUUUGUUUUAGCGAGCAGUCUAAGCACAGAGGCCAUUCUUAUCCGCUGGGGAAAGGUAGGAACCCACAGGAACUCUAAGUUCCCAGAGCCCAGGCAAGGGCUAGCCACUCUGACAGGCCUUUCCAAGGAGAGCAGCCUCAAGCUUUUUUUUGCACACCAUUUAAGUAACCUACUUGGUUUCCCCCUGCUUUAGAAAGGAGAGACAGACCUGAGGCAGAACCCCCUGGAGCAGAGCUCCAUUGCAAGGAUGGGAAGAGGGAGGGAGGUGCAGGCCGGGUGGUCACUCACACACACACAUACACACACACACCAAGGAGUAGCAGAAAACCAGAAGGUGGCAGUGACACAAGCACAGUCACUGCAGGGAGUUAAAGGAAAAUGAAAAUCAGUUAGUUUCAUGGACUUUAACAACAAUCCUCAUCAGUGACCUUCCCAGGAGCAAUUUCAGUGGCUCCGUGAGGGCUGAAGCCAGGCUGCUGUGAAUUGAGCAGUGGGUGGGGAAGGAGAAAAGAAAUCGUUAAGUCUGCGAAGUUCUCUCACGAAGUGUGUGACGAGGUGGGGAGAAGUGAUAGGAGAGGGUCUCUGAAGGUUGGAGAGGCCAUAUUCUACCCUAAAGAGGGUGCAUGGGGUUUGGACACAGGCAGAGGGAUGCUUUGGACAGAGGCUCUUCUUUACUAAGCCAAGAGAGUGGUGCCUGUUCACUGGUGACCUCCCAUCCAUACCUCUUUCCUUGGGGAAGGCAGAGGCCAGGGCGGGGCCCCACUGAGGCAAAAGGAGGUAGGAUGGGUACUUGGAGGGGAGAGGAGGGGCAAGCCUGUAGAGGACGGCAGAGGGAGCCGACUGGAGCCCCUCGCGUGCGUGGACCGAGGGCCCCAGGGUGGCAGGGGAGCAGGGAGAAUGGAGCUUUGCCAAGGAGUAUAACCAAGGAACAGGAAGGGAAGGCAAUGAGGGCUUUGGGCCUUGUAUUCUAAUGUAUGUAGCAAAGGAAACAGACACAGAGAGGCAGAAGGGCUGAGGAUGUGAAGGGGUCUGUGGACGGGAGAGUAGGAGAGCCUAGAAAAUGGAACCCUUCUGGGCCCCCUGGGGACAGAGCGCCAGGAGGCUGUGGUCACGGUUUCCAUUUGAGGUGGUCGCAGGCAAGUGCCUCAGGGGCAGUGAAGCUUAUUAAGCAAAUACCGAGCACCUACUGUAUGCCCCACUGUUCUAAACUCUAGGCGUGCAGUGAUUAACAAGACAGACCAGACCGCUACUUUCAUGGAGCUUAUAUGCCAGGGAGACUCCCUGACUAAAGGCAUUUCAGUUCCGGGUGCUUGUUGCCAACCUGGUGUCUCUGUUCUGGUACAUCUACCUGGCCUCUCUGGGGAAGUGAAGAUGGCCUGGAGUGAACACACCCAGCUGUGUAGGGACACCUGCCUAGGGUGAAACAAGAGCAGAAACCACCUGGUCAAGACUGUAGCUGACUCCAGAUCACGUGGUUCAAGAUGGCGAAACAAUCUGUUAAUGUUAAGAAUCUUGUGUUUCAAAAAGGUAGAAACCGUCUUCGGGUGAUGCUGCCUCAGAGUCGUAAAAUGCAGUAGCAAUGAUUGCACUUGUCACCCUGAAUUGAGUUAGGACAACAAUAAACUAUAAUGUAGCCUUUUCCGUGA